CCUACGGGAGGCAGCAGUGGGGAAUAUUGGACAAUGGGGGAAACCCUGAUCCAGCGACGCCGCGUGAGUGAUGAAGUAUUUCGGUACGUAAAGCUCUAUCAGCAGGAAAGAAAAUGACGGUACCUGACCAACAAGCCCCGGCUAACUACGUGCCAGCAGCCGCGGUAAUACGUAGGGGGCAAGCGUUAUCCGGAUUUACUGGGUGUAAAGGGAGCGUAGGCGGCAGCGCAAGUCUGGCGUGAAAUGCCGGGGCCCAACCCCGGAACUGCUCUGGAAACUGGGAAGCUGGAGUGCAGGAGAGGUAAGCGGAAUUCCUGGUGUAGCGGUGAAAUGCGUAGAUAUCAGGAGGAACACCGGCGGCGAAGGCGGCUUACUGGACUGUAACUGACGUUGAGGAUCGAAGGCGUGGGGAGCAAACAGGAUUAGAUACCCUUGUAGUC
rnacentral:rRNA from 1 species